GCCAGUUUAGCUGUGAAAGAAUGAAAUCUGUAUCUUUUUCCUGUGAAGGAAAGGGAGGAUGAGUAAGCUGAAGAUUGUGGUCUAUCCUUGCUGUAUACAACCAUAACCCUGGAAAAAACAUUUUUCUUUCAUUCUGCCUUCCCAAAACGAGGACUUAGAACCCAGCACACAGUGAAAGGCAAGUAGAAGGACUCUGCUUAAAUAAGAGGAAGCUGAGAGGUCUGUUCUGCUAAGUGAAGCUGGAAAUGCCUUAUCUAAUUCAGUUUCUGAGAAGAGCAAGUUGAGAUAUUGUCAGCAAAUAAUUUCUUUUCAUUCCAUUUCCCCCUGUUUUUAUUAAACUUUCUUUUUGUUAAGAUUACUAUUGUAUGGGUUAUUUCAUGAAGACCAUUCAAGAAGAAGAGAAACCUAAGAAGUGCAGAAGAUUAACGAAUCUCCAGAACCUAUACCCUACCCAAUGGACCCAUGUUAUGCCCCAUACAUUUUGAUUGCUUCUCCUUUGUCACUUGGGGAAGCAAACAUGACUGCUAGCUUUUAAUUUGGAGAAAAGGGAAGUGUCAGUAUUUGAUCUGUUUGACUUUCAUUAUGCACAGUCACAGAUGGAAUGGAAAUGAUGAGCAGACAAGUUCAUAAAAAUGAUUGUACGGGAAAUUACAGCUGGAACAAGUUACCACAUCUCUAUGGAUCCCACAUCUACAGUCUUACUUUAUAAGAGCAUAAAUACGUGAAUCAGAGCCAAUGAAACAGUUUUUGUUGCUUAGUCCUUUAAGAAAAUACAAGACCCUGGAAAAUACUGUAGCGUUUCUUGAAAGUUUAAGAAUAAAUAUCUUGAAUAGGAAGUUGGUCUAACUUUCUUUUGUUCUACCUAGAGCCACAAAAUUAUCAAAGGGUUGGGCGAUAAAGUAAUUUACUGUAUGCUUAUUACAAAAUCAUGAUGUGUUUGGCCAACUUCAUCUUAAAGCUAUUUUAAAAUUGAUUCUGCAUUUAUACUUCUUUUAAAAUGCAUGAAAUAGAAUGGCAAAUCUAU